rnacentral:rRNA from 1 species
UACGGAGGGGGCUAGCGUUGUUCGGAAUUACUGGGCGUAAAGAGCGCGUAGGCGGCUCGGCAAGUUGGAAGUGAAAGCCCGGGGCUUAACCUCGGAAUUGCUUUCAAAACUGCUGAGCUAGAGUAUGGUAGGGGAUGAUGGAAUUCCUAGUGUAGAGGUGAAAUUCUUAGAUAUUAGGAGGAACACCGGUGGCGAAGGCGGUCAUCUGGGCCAUUACUGACGCUGAGGCGCGAAAGCGUGGGGAGCAAACAGG